GGCAAACGGGUGAGCAAUGCGUGAGUAAUCUACCUCCAUGUCGAGCAUAGCCUCGCGAAAGUGAGAGUAAUGCUUGAUGUGCCCUGUGCUCCACAAGAAGCGCACGGUAAAGGUACCCGCAAGGAUAUCGCAUGGAGAUGAGCUCAUGUUCUAUCAGCUAGUUGGUAGGGUAACGGCCUACCAAGGCUUAGACGGAUAGGUGGCCUGAGAGGGUGGUCACCCACAAGGGGACUGAGACACUGCCCCUACUCCUACGGGAGGCUGCAGUCGAGAAUAUUUAGCAAUGGACGAAAGUCUGACUAUGCGACGCCGCGUGAGGGAUGAAGGUUUUCGGAUCGUAAACCUCUUUCGAUAGGGAAGAAACUCCCUGUUCGUAAGGACAGGUGCUGACGGUACCUAGAGAAGAAGCCAUGGCCAACUCCGUGCCAGCAGCCGCGGUAAUACGGGGAUGGCGAGCGUUACUCGGAUUUACUGGGUGUAAAGGGCA
rnacentral:rRNA from 1 species